GAAAUGCGAUAAGUAAUGUGAAUUGCAGAAUUCCGUGAAUCAUCGAAUCUUUGAACGCACAUUGCGCCCUCUGGUAUUCCGGGGGGCAUGCCUGUCCGAGCGUCAUUGCGAACCCCUCAAGCACGGUUUGUGUGAUGGGCCCUCCCGCGUCUUAGUCGUCAAGACGGGCCCGAAAAGCAGUGGCGGCUUCGCGGUUAUCCGAUCAGCCAGAGCGUAUGGGGACUUUCUCUCUGUCACACGCCCGCGGCGCGGACCGACGCCUGUCGACCUUUAUUCAUCUUUUUCUCGGUUGACCUCGGAUCAGGUAGGGAUACCCGCUGAACUUAAGC
rnacentral:misc_RNA from 1 species